AAACAGGAGAGAAAGGCAGGCUGGAAGGCUGAAGAGCGAGGCGUAAGCACAGGCAGACCCAAAAUGGGUGACGAAUUUUCCUUAAGGUCAUCAGAGAUU
rnacentral:ribozyme from 1 species